rnacentral:rRNA from 1 species
AGAGUUUGAUCAUGGCUCAGGACGAACGCUGGCGGCGUGCCUAAUACAUGCAAGUAGAACGCUGAAGAGAGGAGCUUGCUCUUCUUGGAUGAGUUGCGAACGGGUGAGUAACGCGUAGGUAACCUGCCUUGUAGCGGGGGAUAACUAUUGGAAACGAUAGCUAAUACCGCAUAACAAUGGAUGACCCAUGUCAUUUAUUUGAAAGGGGCAAAUGCUCCACUACAAGAUGGACCUGCGUUGUAUUAGCUAGUAGGUGAGGUAACGGCUCACCUAGGCGACGAUACAUAGCCGACCUGAGAGGGUGAUCGGCCACACUGGGACUGAGACACGGCCCAGACUCCUACGGGAGGCAGCAGUAGGGAAUCUUCGGCAAUGGGGGCAACCCUGACCGAGCAACGCCGCGUGAGUGAAGAAGGUUUUCGGAUCGUAAAGCUCUGUUGUAAGUCAAGAACGAGUGUGAGAGUGGAAAGUUCACACUGUGACGGUAGCUUACCAGAAAGGGACGGCUAACUACGUGCCAGCAGCCGCGGUAAUACGUAGGUCCCGAGCGUUGUCCGGAUUUAUUGGGCGUAAAGCGAGCGCAGGCGGUUUGAUAAGUCUGAAGUUAAAGGCUGUGGCUCAACCAUAGUUCGCUUUGGAAACUGUCAAACUUGAGUGCAGAAGGGGAGAGUGGAAUUCCAUGUGUAGCGGUGAAAUGCGUAGAUAUAUGGAGGAACACCGGUGGCGAAAGCGGCUCUCUGGUCUGUAACUGACGCUGAGGCUCGAAAGCGUGGGGAGCGAACAGGAUUAGAUACCCUGGUAGUCCACGCCGUAAACGAUGAGUGCUAGGUGUUGGAUCCUUUCUGGGAUUCAGUGCCGCAGCUAACGCAUUAAGCACUCCGCCUGGGGAGUACGACCGCAAGGUUGAAACUCAAAGGAAUUGACGGGGGCCCGCACAAGCGGUGGAGCAUGUGGUUUAAUUCGAAGCAACGCGAAGAACCUUACCAGGUCUUGACAUCCCGAUGCUAUUUCUAGAGAUAGAAAGUUACUUCGGUACAUCGGUGACAGGUGGUGCAUGGUUGUCGUCAGCUCGUGUCGUGAGAUGUUGGGUUAAGUCCCGCAACGAGCGCAACCCCUAUUGUUAGUUGCCAUCAUUCAGUUGGGCACUCUAGCGAGACUGCCGGUAAUAAACCGGAGGAAGGUGGGGAUGACGUCAAAUCAUCAUGCCCCUUAUGACCUGGGCUACACACGUGCUACAAUGGUUGGUACAACGAGUUGCGAGUCGGUGACGGCAAGCUAAUCUCUUAAAGCCAAUCUCAGUUCGGAUUGUAGGCUGCAACUCGCCUACAUGAAGUCGGAAUCGCUAGUAAUCGCGGAUCAGCACGCCGCGGUGAAUACGUUCCCGGGCCUUGUACACACCGCCCGUCACACCACGAGAGUUUGUAACACCCGAAGUCGGUGAGGUAACCUUUUGGAGCCAGCCGCCUAAGGUGGGAUAGAUGAUUGGGGUGAAGUCGUAACAAGGUA